UGGGGAAUAUUGCACAAUGGGCGCAAGCCUGAUGCAGCCAUGCCGCGUGUAUGAAGAAGGCCUUCGGGUUGUAAAGUACUUUCAGUCGGGAGGAAGGUGGUAAGGUUAAUAACCUUAUCAAUUGACGUUACCGACAGAAGAAGCACCGGCUAACUCCGUGCCAGCAGCCGCGGUAAUACGGAGGGUGCAAGCGUUAAUCGGAAUUACUGGGCGUAAAGCGCACGCAGGCGGUCUGUCAAGUCGGAUGUGAAAUCCCCGGGCUCAACCUGGAAACUGCAUUCGAAACUGGCAGGAUAGAGUCUUGUAGAGGGGGGUAGAAUUCCAGGUGUAGCGGUGAAAUGCGUAGAGAUCUGGAGGAAUACCGGUGGCGAAGGCGGCCCCCUGGACAAAGACUGACGCUCAGGUGCGAAAGCGUGGGGAGCAAACAGG
rnacentral:rRNA from 1 species